rnacentral:lncRNA from 1 species
GUGUCCCAGAUCUCUGAUGGUGCCCGUCUCCAACCACAUCAACAAUCUUCUAGAGCCGUGUGGUAAUAGAUUGGUGCUAAAGAAAGGGCCAGUCUCUUUUUUGAGAGAAAAGAGAGCAUGAUGCAGAGGAGAGCAUAAAACUCUACCACCUCCCACCAACAAUCCACCAUCACAAUCAGAGUAGUACUUCUCGUGGGUCCGUUGCAGUGUAACCCCUGGCCACAAUAGAUCCUCUGCUACUCAAUGCCCCGACUCAUUAGAUCCAUGUGCUGACUGGUGCCGUGGAGUAACUCCAAUAAAUGAUAGAGCAGCAACAACAGCAUAUGGAGCCGAAUCCUCAAGCGGCUCCCUCUCAUCACAGUUGGCAAUCUUGCUCCCAGAGCCUGAGAUUUCUCCCCUCAGCAACACUCCCAUCAUUUUCUUGCCUUUAUGGCUCGAUUCUCCUCCUAUCAGAGCUUGAAGGGGGAGGCACGAUCAAGAAGCUCUUUCUCCACUAAACAUUCGACCCCAGACUACUUUUCCAAACUCGGAGAAUCAUGGCA